AUGGCAAUUGGAGCUGCAAUAGGUUUUCCAGGUAUGUUUGGUUCAGUUGGUUGCAUGUUGGCAAUGAAAGGCUGUCUCAAAGGUUUGUGCGGGAUGUACCAAGGUCACACCAAAGAGGCCACCAUCAUACUAGGAGUAGUGGCAUCAAGGGACUUGUGGAUUUGGUAUGCUUUCUUUGUCAUAUCUGGUUCUCACAACGGCAUUAAUUUGCUCCAACGAUCUCUGCUGUCCAAGAGACUUUGUGAUGUGGAUGCUCCGUCGUGCAACUACAUCGUCAACGGACACAACUAUAACAUAGGGUACUACCUUGCCGAUGAUAUCUAUCCUCAGUGGGCGGUGUUUGUCAAGACCAUAUACGAUCCCCAUGGAAAAAAAUAA
rnacentral:rRNA from 1 species